GGCCAUAUAGCUUAGUGGUUAUAGUGCGGACUCUUGAUAAGCUCUCAAAGAGGUGUAGUCCCUGGCGUGGGUUCGAGCCCCACUAUGGCCU